rnacentral:rRNA from 1 species
CUCAGGAUGAACGCUGGCGGCGUGCUUAACACAUGCAAGUCGAACGGAGUUAAGGAGCUUGCUCUUAAACUUAGUGGCGGACGGGUGGAGUAACGCGUGGGUAACCUGCCUUUCACUGGGGGAUAACAGUUAGAAAUGACUGCUAAUACCGCAUAAGCGCACGGGAUCGCAUGAUCUAGUGUGAAAAACUCCGGGUGGUGAAAGAUGGACCCGCGUCUGAUUAGCUAGUUGGUGAGGUAACGGCCCACCCAAGGCGACGAUCAGUAGCCGGCCUGAGAGGGUGAACGGCCACAUUGGGACUGAGACACGGCCCAAACUCCUACGGGAGGCAGCAGUGGGGAAUAUUGCACAAUGGGGGAAACCCUGAUUGCAGCGACGCCGCGUGAGUGAAGAAGUAUUUCGGUAUGUAAAGCUCUAUCAGCAGGGAAGAAAAUGACGGUACCUGACUAAGAAGCCCCGGCUAACUACGUGCCAGCCGCCGC